rnacentral:rRNA from 1 species
AGCAGCCGCGGUAAUUCCAGCUCCAAUAGCGUAUAUUAAAAGUUGUUGCAGUUAAAAAGUCGGUAGUUGAAAUUUUUUCGGGGUUCAAGUAAGGGUUUGGGUCGUGGCCAACCCGGGUAACGUACUUGGGUCUCACUGAUUUCCUCCUUUCCUGAUGAGCUGUAAUGCCAAUUAAUUGGUGUUUGCAGGGAAAUCUGGGACUGUUACUUUUUGAAAAAAAAUUUAGAGUGUUUUUAA